CUCGAGUCCUGUGGUGUUGCUAGUUAUUUUAAUUGAGUGACACACAAGGUGGGUAUGAAUGAAUUUUACAGCCAAUUAGGGCUAAGCAUGGAUUGUACAGGAAAGAGAGUCUUUUUAGUGCAAAUUUAUGGUCCACUCAAGACACAUAACUUAUGACAGGACUAGUAACCGCAGCUGAGCAGGCUUCUUUCCGGAGCCUCUUGUCCUCUAAACGGGUUUUUCUGGACACUUGCAGUAGGUAAGGAGGCUGUCGACUAUGGAACUGAGCGAAGACAGUGUGCACUUGAGGAACGAAUUAAGACCCGUAAACAAGGAUGAAAGCCCCCGCCCCGCAGACUUCAGCUCCUCCUCCAUGAAGG
rnacentral:lncRNA from 1 species